rnacentral:rRNA from 1 species
CAGCAGCCGCGGGAAUACGUAGGUGGCAAGCGUUGUCCGGAAUUAUUGGGCGUAAAGGGCUCGCAGGCGGUUUCUUAAGUCUGAUGUGAAAACCCCCGGCUCAACCGGGGAGGGUCAUUGGAAACUGGGAAACUUGAGUGCAGAAGAGGAGAGUGGAAUUCCACGUGUAGCGGUGAAAUGCGUAGAGAUGUGGAGGAACACCAGUGGCGAAGGCGACUCUCUGGUCUGUAACUGACGCUGAGGAGCGAAAGCGUGGGGAGCGAACAGGAUUAGAUACCCCUGUAGUCCCUGUCUCUUAUAC